rnacentral:lncRNA from 1 species
GUUGGUCAGGCUGGUUUCGAACUCCGGAACUCAGGUGAUCCGCCCGUCUCGGCCUCCCAAAGUGCUGCUGGGAUUACAGGCAUGAGCCACCGCUCCCGGCCCAAAAUUUUCAAAAUUAUAAAACAUUGUUUUUACAGAAGAGAAUAAUGAUAGAGCAAAAGACUCCACAUUUGAUUUUGUUCCACAGCAGAGUUGUGCAAUUUUGCAUUAGCCACAAUAGCCAAAAAGGAGAGGCAACCCAGGUGUCUGCUGACAGAUGAAUGGAUAAACAAAACAAUCUAUACACACUCCUUCCUCAGGAGCCCAAGGUCACACCGAGCUUCACCCUUCGUUGGAAGACUGAGCACCAGAUGUGUGGGGAGGUGUCCGAGCAUCAG